UACGGAGGGGGCUAGCGUUGUUCGGAAUUACUGGGCGUAAAGCGCACGUAGGCGGUGGUGCAUGUCAGAUGUGAAAGCCCUGGGCUUAACCUAGGAAUUGCAUUUGAAACUGCGCCGCUAGAGACCGGAAGAGGGUAGUGGAAUUCCCAGUGUAGAGGUGAAAUUCGUAGAUAUUGGGAAGAACACCAGUGGCGAAGGCGGCUACCUGGUCCGGUACUGACGCUGAGGAGCGAAAGCGUGGGGAGCGAACAGG
rnacentral:rRNA from 1 species